UAUUUUUUUUUCAAUGUUUCUCCCUACACCUCACUUACUUCAGGCACCUCCCUUUAUUUUUGUAUUUUCAACUGUAGCCCUGUUAGAAAUAUUUUUAUUUUUAAAAAAUCUGUAUUCAAUAAUAAAAAAUGAAGCAAUCCUUCCUCCUCCAGUGUGCCGGCAAACUCUAGAUUUGGAAACACUACACUUCUCUGUGGUUGAUGUACGGGUUGGGGAUGCUUGGUCUGCGGCUGGGGUUGGGGGUGUUGGAUUUGGGGUUAGGAUACUUGAUCUGGGAUUGGGAGUGUUGGACUUGGGAUUCUGGAAGGAGAUGUGAACCGCACUUGGAUAUGCGGCUUCAACACACUUCGAAGUUGAAGAGUGCUGCAAUUGGGAGGGGUGGUUGGUUGCUUGCCAAAAUUGGAACUGCGGGGAAGCUUUUUAUUUUGUUUGAUUUUCUUUUUUUUGGUUUUUUUGUUAUCUUUUUUUCUAUUUUAUUUUUUCUGCGUUAGUAUAUUAACUUUAGCUUUUUUUUGUUUGAUUUUCUUCUUGUUUUCUUUUAUUUGUUUUUAAUAUAUAAUUUUUAUCAAAUUAUUUAUUUCAAUAAAUAAUAGAUAUUAUGCGUUACUUUUUUGUUUUUUUACUUAUUAUUUUGUUUCUUAAUUUAUUUUAUAAUUUUUUGUCAGAAUAAUUUAAAACGCACCCAAAACCCCUCUGAACGGACGUCAGGUAUCAAGCAACGAGGAUCUGGAAAUCAGAUAGUGAAAGGCAGGUGUCGGCAGAUGAGCGGAGCUCGUUUUGACGUGGGAGGCAAAACUGAUUUUUUUUAGAAACUCCCGUCAGACUCUCUGCAUGCACCCUUCUUCCCAAAUUCUGAAAAAUCUCAUUUUCUCCUCCUUCUCACUACAUCUCCUUCAUCUUCUCUCUAAGAAAUCUCACCAUUUCUCUUCUCCGACCAUCAUUCAGGCACCGUAGAAACACUCCCGGCGUCAAGAGCUUCAGUUUGAACCGAUCAGUUUCGGGUUCUGAACUGUUUUGAAGAGCUGUUGAACGUUGAGGGUAGAAGAAAUUUUAGUCAGGCGAGCCAUAUUCUGUCUCUAGGACGUUCAUUCACACUUAGAGAAGGAGGCGUACUUGAGACGCUGGAAGAGGAAAAUCUGGUUGAGGUUGAAGUGAAGACCGAAUAAUAGGACGUUCAGUUAGUACUUUAGUUUGUAUAGUAAAGUGGUCGUUUGAUCACCCUUCCUUUCGUUUAGAACAACCGUUCGGUAGUUCUUUUGAACCGUUCAGUCAGGAGUGUACUUGGUACAAUUUUUUUUUAAGUUCUAUUAAUG